rnacentral:lncRNA from 1 species
GCAGCGGCGGGAAUAGCAGCUGCAUUUCUUUUCUCUUCCUCCCUUCACAUUCCAUUAUCAUAGUUUCCAAUGGAAAAGCAGGGAAUGAAAGGGAACAGGUUUUUACAGACCUGCUCAAAAACAUCCCGAGAACUACCGUGCACAAGCGAAUGGAUCAUUUAAAAGUCAAAAAGCAUCACUGCGACCUGGAGGAGUUGAGGAAACUCAAAGCCAUCAACUCCAUCGCCUUCCACGCCGCCAAAUGCACCCUGAUCUCCAGAGAGGACGUGGAAGCCCUGUACACAUCCUGCAAAACCGAGCGCGUCCUCAAGACGAAACGGAGGAAAAUCGGCCGGGCUCUGGCCUCCAGCGACCUCCGGCCGGAGCCCGCUCCCGCCGACCCCUUCUGCGGCUUCUGGAAGGAGAACAAACUUUGGCUGGGGCUCAGCGACCCCCCCCCGGCCCCUGCUGCCGCUCCGGAGGAAAGCCUUGCGGCCGGGGGGCUGCCCCCCGCCGCCGGGCCGUGUUGGGGCGGCACGUGGCGGCGCCUUAUAAAAUACAAAUCGCGAUGAAAUGUAAAUUCCAGCCCAGAAACUUAUCUCGGGCUAUUCUCUUUCCCGAAAUCUCCCUCCCUCUGAUUUCGCUAUUAGGAGAAAUCCCCCCUGGGUUUAGAGCACUUGUUUCACUUUUUUUUUUUUUUUUUUUUUCCCUUUUUGCUGUUGUUGUGCAGCCCACAUCUGUUGGCUUCCCCUCCGCGGCUCUCCCUGCGGGGCCGAGGCCGAGCCUCCCCGGGGCAGCCCCAGCCCCAGCCCUGCCCCUCGGAGCCGGGCGAUUUUCCCCCGGUGCCUUCGGGGACCGGGCUUGAAUUGCGAAGGGGUCGGCUGCUCGGCUCCCUCCUUCCCGGGACUGGCUCCCGCAGUUCUCCUCCCGGCUGCUCGGUGCUGUCGGAGCGGGCAGAUAGGGCUGUACAGCCCAUUUCCCUCCAAACAGGAUGUUUCCAUCAACCUGCAUUUGGUUUUCCCCAAAGAGCAGCGGAGAGUUUAGCUGGGAAACACGUCCCGGCUAAACCCUUGCCUUCAGCUGCCACUCGGGUCACUUCACAUCUUUGUAUUAUAUUUCAUCCUGUCAUUCCCCUUUCUCUGCCUUCCCGGGCAAAAUAAAUAAACUAACAAACAACCGGAGCCUUGCA